AGAGGGGUUGAGUCAAGAUGGCGGCCUGGAAGUAGCUCCUGCGCGCUGCUCUCACAGGGAGGAGACAAAGGGCUGGUGAACACUGACCCUACAAGCUGAUAUCUAAGAAACCGUGUCGGACUCGAUCAAGGCAGCAAGCCGACACAGAGAACAGAGAGGAGUGCAGCUGGGCAGCAGCCUGUCUGGGAUAAACGCGGAGCCAGGAGAAGCUCCCCAACACAGGAAAGGCUUCCAUCAACCAGGAGUCUGUAUAUGCUUUACCUGGUUCCUCUGCUCAGGGUGUCCAAAGGCUGUGGUCAAGAAUCCCAUCUAGGAUAUCAUAUCACAUUGAGAUGUCAAGUUUCCUUUGGCUGUUCUUGGCUGUGGCAGUUUCUCAGACUUCUGUAGUUUUUGGUAGACAUCAUUCAAUCUAUUGAUAGUCUGAAAUAGAAGAAGACGAUGGAGAAAGGUUGAAUUCUCCCUCUCUGCAUGACAGUAUGAGCUGGAAAACUGAUCUUUCCCUGCCCUUGGAGCUCCUGGUUCUCAGACCUUCAGACUGGAACUGUCACAGUUCCCAAACUCCAAACUCCAAAAG
rnacentral:lncRNA from 1 species